rnacentral:tRNA from 1 species
GCGAUGGUAGUUUAGUGGCCUAGAAUAUGACGUUGCCAACGUUGUGACCCGGGUUCAAAUCCCGGCCAUCGCA